CCGUUCCGACGAGCGGGACCCACCCACCCAUCCCCGCCGCCGUCCCCACCCACCGCCGCCGUCGAUGGAGGGUUCCCCGGAGGCGGCGGAUCGGCUGGAUCCGGGCGCCGUUUCGGGCUCGAUCCGGCCGGUGACGAGCUUGCCGAGGAGGAUGAAGACGAGAGAUUAGGGGGAUCGAGAUGGAUGCCGAGAUCCGAUCUAGGCUGGCGCUGCGCCUGCGAGAUCUGAUCGCGAGCUAACCCUAUGGAAGCUUAAGAUGAAUUUGCAUACCUGGAUCAACUCCAUCGGUGUUGGGCGAGUCAUGUGGUGCGAUGAUCAUCAUGUUGGUUAUGACCACAUUGCUGGGUGUAGAAAAUGAAUUGGAUCAGUAUUUCAGCAUAAAUGGGCAUUUGAAACUGAACAUUCUCAAGAAUUUUGUAGCUGUGUCACAAGAUUUCUUAUUUCUGGAAGGAGAUGAACAUUUCAACUUUCAAGCGUGUGCUUACUCGCAAUAAACAGGAUGGAUGUUCCAGAAGGGUGAAUUCUUGAGAACAAUGUUGGAGAUGUGAAUGCCACUGGAAUGCAUGAAUUCCAGAAGGUUGGGCCUGGAACAGUCAGAGAAAAUUGCUACAGACGAAAUAAGAGCACAGUUAGUUCAGUUGCCUGGUGAGAGUAAGCCUGACUGCUUGUUGUCUGCUUGAGCAUAUAAUGCUGGCUUAAACCAGUCACCAACUUAAUAGUAGAAGUGAUGUAAACUGUACCAGAGUGGUACAGAAUCAAAUCAGUUCACUGUUCCAUUUCCUGUUCUUGGCAUGCAUGUACAUCCACUAGAUAUGGAACAGGAGCAAGAUUCAACUUUACCGACAACAGGUCGUCCACCGUGCUACCCACCAAGAAUUCUUUUUUGCAGGAUGUAUGCAUGUCUCUUUGAAUAUUCUCUGACCAGGAGACCAAAGUUAGUUGGUUGAGACUUAAGAAUUGACAAUCAAGACCAUCACAAGAACACAGUAUACCAAAACAACAGGGGAGAAAGUGAGCAGCAGAGAAGCUACCACCAUGCAACAACUAGAAAUACCGGAGCUGAGCUAAGCUGAGCUUCAAUUCUUCACCUGUAAUCACGAUGUCGCGGAGGCCGUCGCCGUGGAUGAAGCUGGUGUACCUCGCCCCCGGCAGCUCCCUCCCCCUUCCGUACGACGGCAGCGGCUCCGCCAGCGGCCAGCUCCUCGUCUCCUGCGUCGAUGUCAACGACACCACUCACCACCAAGAAGAAGAGAGGAAAAGAAAAACAUGGCCAUGGCGGUGGCGAGGUGAGAGUGAGACCUGUGUGGCCUUGAGGACGGCGCCCCUGGCGAGGAAGAGGGUCAUGUGGCUGGUGAGGUUGAAGCUGCCGGUGAGCCACGUUCCGGCCGGCACGAGCAGCGUGGUGCCGCCGCGGCGGCGCUGGUGCUGGAUGCGGUACACUGCCUUGUGGAACGCCCACGUGUUCACCGUCCGGCCGUCGCCCACGCCGCCGAACUCGGCGAUGGACACCGUCUCCGGCCGUGGCCUCGCCGGCACCGCACCGGCGCACGUCGUCGCCUCCGCCGCGUCACAUUGCACCAACAACACCACCAGUAGCACGGUGACCGCGAAGCCAUGCCCAUGCAACGCGGCCAUCAAAGAAAAAAUGAGAGGAAAUUGUUUGCGGCUAAACUAAAGAGAGAGAGGCCAAGCAGAGAGCUCCAAGAAGAGCUUUUUUCUACCGGUGUUUGUGUGAUCCCUAUAGGAGAAAGGUGGCCAAAUCCUGAGCUUAACAAUGCUGAGAGUGAGGGUUGAAGAGAGGAAGGCAAAGCAAAGCUAUAGCUUGCUCCCAAGUGCAAGAAUCCAAGGGUGGUGUGAGGAGAGCCAAGCAGAUGAGUCCAGAGGAUGGGAUGGGGUGGCUCAGCUUUGGAGCAAACCUGUGACUCGCUAGCUCACUUACUCUCUUGUGAGUGUGAGUGUGAGUGAAGAGAAGAAAGAAAAUGGAGAAUGUCUUGUGAAAGAGAGCCAGUUUUGGUCUCCAGUGAAAGCAGUGAAGCUUUUAUUCAGAUCUUGCAUGCUCAUAUAUAAUGGCUGCUCCAUUUCGCAAUUUUCAACUCAGGUGUGUCAGAAUGGUAAAAAUAAAAAUCAAAAUUUCUCCCAUGCUGUUAGUAAGGUAAUCUCCUUCCUUUUAUUUGAAAGCUAGGCAGGUGUUCUACCGAGAUGAAAUGCAAAGGGAAUUUCUUGCUUAAUUAACAUGACAGUCAUGCGGUUGAUCUACCACCAGAUUUGGCGUAGAGGCAGGGGCCCUUCAUUUGCUGCUUUUUUAUCAUCUUCUUUUUUCUUGCGUUUCAUUGCAUCUAAUGCUUUCUCAUCGUGGUACAUAAUUAAAGCCAUUGGGAUCGUGAGCAAAGGUAGAAGAAACAUGCUUUAUCAGCAUGGCAUGGACCAAAUUAAAAGAUCUCUACAUGCACUCCAGCUGGUAUUAUGUUUUGAACGUAUAUACAUGGGCAAAAUAUGGACUUCUGCCAUGUAGAUUGUAGAAUUUAAAUUCAGUCAGGUGUAAGAUGACUGAGUUGUUAUACAUUGUACAUACGUACUAAUACUCCCUCCGUUUUUUAAUAGAUGACGCCGUUGAUUUUUUCUCA